rnacentral:rRNA from 1 species
AACGAACGCUGGCGGCAGGCCUAACACAUGCAAGUCGAGCGAGGACUUCGGUUCUAGCGGCGGACGGGUGAGUAACGCGUGGGAAUGUGCCCUUCUCUACGGAAUAGCCCUGGGAAACUGGGAGUAAUACCGUAUACGCCCUAUUGGGGAAAGAUUUAUCGGAGAAGGAUCAGCCCGCGUUGGAUUAGGUAGUUGGUUGGGUAAUGGCCUACCAAGCCGACGAUCCAUAGCUGGUUUGAGAGGAUGAUCAGCCACACUGGGACUGAGACACGGCCCAGACUCCUACGGGAGGCAGCAGUGGGGAAUAUUAGACAAUGGGGGAAACCCUGAUCUAGCCAUGCCGCGUGAGUGAUGAAGGCCUUAGGGUUGUAAAGCUCUUUCAGAUGGGAAGAUAAUGACGGUACCAGCAGAAGAAGCCCCGGCUAACUCCGUG